AGGUAAUAUCUUUUAUUGGACCAACUUCUUUUGAUGAGAGAGACAAGCUUUUGAGGUACACAGAGCUCUUUUUCAGGUCAUACAUGGUACAUAGAACAAAUCCUGUUUCCAAAAGGUCAGUGAACCACAGUCAAUAUUAUGGGGGAGUUCUCUGCCUUGAUCCAUUCUUUGUGCUCCUUAGGCAGCACAUAGAGAGAGGAGGCUAUUCACAAGUCCCCAGCUGGCAACAUGUUUCCAUAUGCGGUAUGAGCACCUUUCUGAGCCUAUCACCAUCUUGCCCCAACCUGUCAGUACCAAUGGCUAAUUGGGGAGAGGCAGGAGCAAGAGGAGCCACCACCGUGGUCAGAGUCCUUUCCCCAUUUCCGGGGAGUGGCAGCAGCAAAAACCAAAGGGUGUGUUCAGAAGGAACAGGUCUAGGAGCUGUUUUAGCAGCCACAAAAGAGCUCCUGGUGCCUGCCUGCAGUAAUUGAGGAGUACCACAGCACCUCCUGAAUUCCAUAGGAAUAGUAGCAACAGACCAGGACAAGAAGAGCACCACAAGUGAGGGAACUGAGGUGUCAGUGUACCUCAGCAAGGAACCCAAGUGGCAGCAUCACUUCAUUUUUCAUUUGGUUUAGAUGUUACCCUUUCCGCAGCCAGUGGGGCAGAGGUGGGUUGGGUGAGGACAGGGAACGGUUAGAGUGUAUGGUAGAUUGGGGACCUUAGCUAGCUGUCCCAAAUUAGAGCAGUUCUCAGACUGCUCCUAUGGAUCCAGAGAAUAUAGAGGGUAAAGUAUAGCCAGAACAAACCAAAUUCUGGUCACAAGUAACACCUCUGAAGUUAAUGAAAUUUCAUGGAAAUAACAGCAAAAUCUGCCACCAAAAGGGAUGGGCUAGGAUAAAAGGACCUAGACUAUAGUUUUCUUUGGGCCUAGAAAAUGUCAUGAUGGUUCUUGUUGUAACUAAUGACUUUUUAGCUGCCUAAAAUCCCUGUGGAUUUCCCCUGCUACGAUUAAAAAGUAACUAGUUGUUUGUUGGUUACUAAGGUAAAUGAUUAGGGGAUGGGGAUUAACUCUAUGAUGUUCAAAGACAAUCCUGGGAACCUGCCUUUCUCAAAGGAAGAUCUAUUCAGCUAAGGAAGGAGUAAUUUGGGAGCAGCAGAGAAACAAUGGGAAAGCCUUUAUAUAUAUCAUAAUGGCAUUCCAAAAAUGUGUCCUGAAAUGAAUAUUUCCUAUUUGGGAGCAGAACAUUAUAUGCCAUGUACAUAUUUGGAGGCAUUUUGCUUUGUUUUCCCCCACUAAUGUCUUAAACUAUAAGCCAAUAUUAGAACAAGGCCUCCCUUUUUCCUCUAUAAGUUCAGGAUCUGACAGCCUUUCCAAGACAAAUCGUUAGUGGUUUCAAUCCAGUUAUGGAGAUUCACGAUAGGUUUGUGACUUUGCACAUGUUCAGUCACACAGCUCAUUAACAUUUUCAAAAUUAGGAAGAAAAAGCGAUUUACAUUAGUUAUAAAUGUGUUUUUAAUUGUUUUGAAUGCUUAACUUGAAAAGUUUGUUUUUAGGAUAUAGUUUUGCAAAUAAUUAGUAAUUAGUCUGCUGAGUUAAAGCUCAGACUCUCUGCUGAAUCUUAAGUUUUGAUUCACAUUGUGAUGUUUUCUUUUUUCUGUAUCAUAUUUUAGAAUGGUCAGUUUGUAAAUGAUCCAGUGCUUAAUCUUGAAAAACAUACAUCAUCCUUAUCUGUAGAUGAUCCACAAUAUAGCCUUAAUAGUGGCUUACCAUUUGAGCCCAUAGUAAGAAACUCUGAAGCCCAUCACCCCAGCAGUAACUCCUAAAAGUAUCAUGUAAGGGUGACACCUCCUGCCACGAUGUUUAAUGUGAAAAAGUAUGCAGAUGAUUUGGUAAGAUGCUUAUUUGGAAACAAAAGUUUAUCUAGAGUGAGAAUUGCACCAGCUUAAUUAAACUGGUGCAACCCUCUGUACGCACGGUGUUUUGUUUUUUUUUUAAAGUUUUAGUGGCUUAUAUUGGUUUACAUUAGUUUAAUUGGGAACAGGUUUAAAUUAAACCAAAAUCCGCCAUUCUUAAACCAAAAUACAUGUUCACAUAGGGGUUUUCACUGGUUUAAGUAAACCAGUUUCAGUUAAACUGGUGCAAAUUUGGCUGCGUACAAGUCCUAAGAUGUAAAAUACAUAUAAAAAAAUUUGGAAUCUAAACUGUUUAUUCAAAGGAGUGAAUACAAUAGUGAAUGACUCUGGCCAUGGCAUGAGACCCAGGCAGUAAAACCCUCACUCUGCAGAACACCAAGGUAUACCUGCUUAGCCAUUAACAUGCCUACAGAACAAUGCCAGCUGACUAGGCGCAUGGCAAACUGAGAACACUGCCCCUCAUCUGCUUGUUACACCUACGAUCAAAACACAAGUAGUGGUAUGCAAAAACAUCAUGUUACUGUUUCCUUGUCCUUCCUCACACACUCCCUGCUUUGUUUGUUUCAUCCAGCUGUUGUAGCUUGUCUUUAAAAUUGUAUGUUCUUUGGGGCAGGGACUUCUUUUACUAGAUAGCUGUAUCCAUAUAGCACACAGUACGAGAGGUUCCCAACCUGGUAGAGGCCUUUAGGCAAUACUGUAUUACAGAUAAAUUAAUCAAUACAGAUGUCAUUUGGGCUUGGUGUUGCAUAUGAUAAUAGGUCAGGAACAUCAAAGAAAUCUGAAAAGGAAAGCAAAAUUGCAAAACAGGUGGGAGAUGUAUCAUGCCCACCCAGAGACCAGAGGGCUGGGUCUCAGACUGGAACAGAACAGGGAGAAAAAGACUAGCCAGGGAAGGAGAAAAUGUUUAUAAAUGUAAGAUUGUGAUUCUUAAUUAAAACAACAUGGAUUGGACUGAUCUUAAUUAGCUUCCGCAGCGUCAGGCUGGACAUGUCAUGCAAACAGUUUAUUUUGCACAGUCUGAUUUUAUCUCUUUUUUCAACAAAUUUUGUUUUUCCACAAUUCAGGUGGUUUAAGAUUGGUAUUUGAGAAAUUGAUGCAAACUACGCUGGGCAGGGUUAGAAACCUUUAACCUCCAAAAUGAGGUAAGGAAGAAAGGGUUGUUGGAGCCCACCUUUCUCUGAAUUUGUGGUCAAAAGGGUCCUCUCCUCUAAGGAGUGUUAAUAUUAAAACUGCAGGCCUCCAGACACGUAGGAAACGCCUAAUGACCACAGAUAAGAACUGAGUUUAAGGGGCAUAGAUCACAAUUACCCAACUGGGAAUUUACCCAGAUACUGUUUUUAUGUCUCAUCUGAAAGGCAAGACAGUGAUCCAAAACGAAUUGGCCAUUGGUUUGAUACUGAUUCAAUGGAGGAGUGUCAUCUAUAGAAUCACCAACACCACUUCCCGCAUAACCCUGGAUGUUCCUUGGAAAUCCAGCUUACUGCCAUCAAGUACUGAACAGUCCAACCCUAAAGUUACAUAUUAACUGGAGUGGAUUUGUGGGGACACCUUAUGGUCAGUUUGGAAAACUACAUGCCUUUAUUCACAAAGGUGUGAAAUCCAGUUCUGUGUAGAUGGCCACUCCAAGGCCUUUGAACCAUUCAAGUUCAUUUCCAGAUAGGCCCAAUGCUGAGGAACAGGUCUGGUGUGUGGAGGGAGAUGGGUUCAGUGUAUACUGUUGUGCAACAGAGGAAGUUAUCACUUGUUUAAUAGUAAUAGUAGUAAAUAUGGUAAUACUCAAGGGUGCAAUUGGGAUUGAGGCCCUAUGGUGCUGGGCUCUGUAUGAUCACAAAAAAAGAAACAAUCCCUGCCCUGAAAGGUUUACGAUCUAAAGAUUUAGUGCUUACAGUAUGCUGGGAAAAGUACAAUUAACUAAAGAGGCAUUGAGUCAGAAAAACAGUGAAGCAGUAUCUACAGAAAUAGGAAGGAGAAAUAGGAGGAGGUAUUAGCUUACAUGGUUUUUGCUCGUUCUCCACCUGUUUUCUUAGAACGUUCACAAAAACAGCAAAAGAUUGACUGAUUUCCUAAUUAAGGGCCCAAUUAUUCUGUCAGCUACACUGGUGUAAAUCCUGAGUAAUUCCUUUAGCUUCAGCAUGUUACUUUAAAUUUACAUUAAUGUAUUUGAGAAAAGAAUUUGGCUCUAAAAAGGACAGACAGGAAAUGCCUUUGAUGGUCAUCAGCCGAAUCAGGUUUUAUUGGCAUGACAAGUUGUUUGAGUGUUGCCAAAGUGUAAGAAAAAGACAGGCCAUCAAUCAUCUGUCAGAGGCAGGUAUGAGCCAUCCAGAAUAGAGUUACACACUGGGUUUGGGAUUAUUACAGUCCAUUCCUGAUCUUGUAGCAAGUUGCUGUAACAUGAAGUCAAAAUAGAAUAUCAUUUGGUGAUGAGCACUGGGAGGAUAUGUCAAUAUGAAAAUAUAUGAAGAGAAUAUGUAAAUUGACGAAGAGAAUAUAUUAACUAAGGAUCCAAACCUGCAGACCUUUCAAGGCCGUGUCUACACGACAGUGGCACAGUACAGCACUGCAGCUGUGCUGCUGUAGCACCCUAAUGUAGAUGCUCCCUGCAUCGACUGAAGGUUUUUUUCUGUCAAUGUAAUUAAUCCAUCUCUCUGUGAAGCAGUAGGUAGGUCAACAGAAGAAUUCUUCCAUGAACCAAGCUGCAUCCACACUGAGGGUUAGGCUGACCUAACUGUGGUACUUGAUGCAACAUUUUUCACAGCACUGAGUGACGAUUAUCUCAUUUUUAAGUGUGGUAUAGGCCAAAGAAAACUAUUUUGGGCCUGAUCCUGCAUUCCUUUUGCAUCCAAAACUCAUUGAUUUUGUGGUAUUCUGAAAAUUGUGUUAAAAUUGUGAUCUAGCACUUUACAUUCCCAGGGGUUUUGCUAGGGCUCUGUAGGGAAGCAUGUGAUCAGAUUCACUCUGUGUGUAGCCAGCCAGCGUAAAGUGACAAACAAGGUCAGAGUGAGCUGUGCCUCUGCAUUUUAGGGAGCAGCCUGCUUUCUCUCUCUCUGAUUUUGGAUUCUUAUUUGUUAUUGUUCUGAAUUCUAAGAAUAAAGUAGUGUUUGUUGCAAACUUCAAGCAAGAGUAUUUUAUGUUUUUAUCUAACUUCUGUGUGUGUAUGCUGCAAAACAACAGAUUUCACUGUCUCCUCCUUCUCUUGACUUCAUUGGAAUGCUCAUGUGAGUUAAGGGAGGUAACUGGUGCUUGGGAAUGGGAGAGAGGCAGUAGGUAGGGGGGAAGGAAUAAAGUUUCAAUAUUAAGUUGCUCUCCACAUCUCAUGAAUACUCAGCUCGGAUGUACAUUGAGCACCAGUUUGUGUCCAAUCAGUACCUUGUGGUUUCUGCUGCGGGUUGUGCAGUUUCAGUCACAGGCUAAAUAAGGGAUGUGCUCAUUCAGCACAUUCCUCAGCUGGCCUAACCACUUCUCCUCACUGGCCAAGUGUCAACUCUACUUCUGGGACUAGAUGGUGCCUCCAGGCAGAAAGGACUUUGUGCUCCCUUGGACUGCUUCAAUUGUUCCAAACAGACUUUCUGUUGCACAGGGCCUUCUGCCAGGGUCUGUGCUGAGAAAAGUUGGCAUAGACCCCAGAGAGAAUCUGGUCCAGUGAAUACAAUUCAGUACUGAGAAGCAAGCAACAGAGAGAGGGAGGAAAAAUACACUAUAUAUGCUACAUACAGGGCACCCAUUUGUGUCAAACCAACUUGGGAGGGGGGGGAAGAAGGGCUGGUGUAGGGGAAAUUUAUUUCUUCUGUCCUUAAUACACUGCAUAAGCAUUCUUUAGUUCGGAAAAUGUUUGAUUUGUAUAUUGAAUUACUUGUGAAAAAAGCCAUGGCUUUAAAUUACAGAGAGUAGAGUUAUGGGAAGAAAACUAGGAUUUUAAUCUAACAAAUACCUUGAGAGGGUUUGCAGAAUCUUUGGUUCAUGGAAGUUCACUCAUCUCAUUUUACGUUGGAAGAAGUGAAAAACUAUAUUCAUUAUGAAUGCUGUGUGUGUGUAGUGGUACUGACAAUUCAUCCCCUGCAUUUAUGAAAUCUCCAUUUAAAAUCUUCACAGAAAUCUCAAACCAAGAGCAGAAUAUAUUACAGCCUAGCUCUAUACAAGUUUCUACAGUAGCUUCUGGUUGCUGCUGGCUCUUCACUUGUAAAUAGCUAUUAGCUUACUCACUGUUGUUAUUAUGAUUUGACAUUUGUGUAUUGCACCAUGGAAGCACAUGGCACUUUACAGAGAUAAUCUUCUAGGUUAUGAGAUAAAUGGUUUCUAAAGUUCUCCAGUCUAAUUUACUGCUACUUACUUUUCCGAUUAAAGAUCCAAAGAAUCAAAUGCUGCUUUGUUGUGUAGCCAUUCACAUAAGUGCUAAGUGGGUCUAAUGUGAUACCAGAUCAGAUUGGUAGCAUUUUAUACCCACUUUGUACAGGUGCAAAUGACAAUACAAAAUAUAAGACAAGCCUUUGCUCUUUCAGGUGUGAUAACAUUGUGUGAUCUGGCCAUUCCUAUUGCUGAGAAAAACAGUUUUUGUUUGGUUUGGGGUGAGAAUGUCACAUGGAGUUCCAUUUUCUGUCUGGAUUUUCGUUCAGCAUAAUCUUCAGCACAGCUAUUCCUGUUUUUAUCUCAGGUGGGUAUUUAUGACACAUCACACAGGAGUGCUUCAAAUGGCCAUCCAACAAAUCCAUCAACAAAACCAAACCAUCCAACCAAAAGCACAAUAACUGAUAGAUUCUUCAUAAGGUAUUUACUGAUUGCAUUGAGCAAUAGAAAGUGCACUACAGCUGAGGAGAGUAGGUUCAGUUGUUCCACAGAGUGGAUCUUCAACAAGCAGAGGUAUGGAAUUAAACAGUUACCUCUAUAAUACUCCUCAGACCCAAUGGAGAGUCCUUUGCACUGCCUGUGAUCCCCAUAUGUAGAGGGCAGGAGGUAGGAAUUGGAUAUGCUAGAUUAAUCCUAUUGACAAUUAAUGGGGUCCAUUUAAUACAGUUCAAGGCAUGCCUUGAGGAAGGGUUCUAGGGGUAGUGGAGGCCACAGGAAUCUGGCUCCAAAAAGUAACCAGAUGGGUAGCAUGGGGCUCCAGAGCUGUUGCAGAGACAGUGCUUUGUGGCUGACCCUGGCCCCUAGCCCAUCUCCUGGGACCUAAAUGGAUCUUAGAAAGGUGCAGAUUCUGGAGUCAGUAAACUCCUUCCUCUUAACUUCUGAGGGGCAAACUCUGCUGCCACAAUCAAAAAACCAGAAUCUCCCUGCAUCUAGUCCCUCCCACAACUUCUAUGGGAGGAGGGUGAUCUGGCCAAGUAUCACUAUUUUUUUUCUAAAAUAAUCUGGAUACCAAAAAUUGAGCAUAUAAAUUAAAAAUACCUGUAAGAAGCAAUAGAGAUCAGCUGGUGGCUUAGUGAAGCUGGGUGAGAGCAGUGUGGAUUAUACAGGUUUUCUUUUUCCAGUGGUGUGCCUUAAGCCUCUUGAGGUUAACUAAGCCCUCCUCUUACCAUUCUCCUUCCAGCAACCCUUUUCCCCUACCCUCCAGCCCUCUCCUGGCUCUCUGUACUCUCAGCCACCAGGAAAAAUUGGAAGCAAGUUCAUCAUAUUAGACUUGACACAGACUUAACAGCAGGUGGUGCUGGAUAGUAAAUGUAAAACACCAGGCCUGAAUUGGCUCCUGUACUCAUUUUACAUGAUAUUAUUCCAUUCAUUUCAACAGACUAACUCCUUAUUUACUCUCUUCUAAGAGACAUAAGAAUCAGACUCAGCAUAUUGCCAUUAAAGAGGUUAUCUCCCAGUAUAACCAGCUGGCAAGCCUAGCAGUGAUUUUUCAACACAUUAUGGACAAGAUACAGCAAAGGAUUAGAAGAGCAGUGGAGAGAAGCAGCAGAGAUGCACUUGAGCAACUUGGACUCAGUAUUUGACAGGUUGCAGGAUGAGAAGAUGUAGAAUUUACAGAUCUGAAGAUGAGAAGGUGAGAAUUUACUGAUCUGAUGCUGAAGGAAUGCAUUCAAUAACAGAAACUAUAGAGUUGUCACAGGUGUGGCAAAGGUGUGAAAGGCAGGAGUGCUGCACCCUGUGAACUGUCCUGCCUUCUUCUGUGUUAUGUUCUCUUUUCCAUCCUAUGUGUUUUUUUUUCUCCAGAGAUAGCAUGUUUUAAUGGACUGAGUACAGAGCUGAGACUAGAGUCAAGAGUUCCUGAAAACUAAUUCCAGCUCUGCCAUGACUUGUUAUGUGGAUAUGAUUUCCUGGACAUAAUUUUUGUUACAUACAUAUGUUUAAAGGGUGCUUUUAGAAAACUGUAAUUUUAAAAAAUUAUUUAAAAAAUAAAAUUUAAACUCUGUCUAUGUCAGUUUCUUUAUCUGUAAUACAGGAAUAAAAAUGCUUCAUUACUUCACAGGCAGGUUAUGAGGAUUAAUGCUCUAAUAAUAUUGUUAAAUUUUCUACACCACUUUGAAAGUGAAACUGGUAUAUAUAUGCUGAGUAUUAUUGUUAUUCUCCUUGCAUUUGGGGAUUCCUGUCUAAAAUUAUUAAAAAUGUUUAAUUUCUAGAAAUAAUGGGUAUGAAGACCAGCAUUUUCUGCAAAGUCCUAAAGGGUGACUGACUUACCACACCUUCAAUUUCCAGCCUUUUUCUUGAUCUUUAAAGUUAUACUACCAAAUGAUUUAGGCCAGUAAUUUAUGCCCCAUCCUUCAAGCUGCUCUGUGUAGGUGGACUCUUGUACUCAUAGUACAAUUUGCAAAG